UCUUAGUGGCGGACGGGUGAGUAACGCGUGGGUAACCUGCCUUACACUGGGGGAUAACACUUUUAAAUAGGUGCUAAUACCGCAUAAGCGCACGAAGCCGCAUGGAUUUGUGUGAAAAACUCCGGUGGUGUAAGAUGGACCCGCGUCUGAUUAGCUUGUUGGCGGGGUAACGGCCCACCAAGGCGACGAUCAGUAGCCGGCCUGAGAGGGUGGACGGCCACAUUGGGACUGAGACACGGCCCAAACUCCUACGGGAGGCAGCAGUGGGGGAUAUUGGACAAUGGGGGGAACCCUGAUCCAGCGACGCCGCGUGAGUGAAGAAGUAUUUCGGUAUGUAAAGCUCUUUUUUCACGCAACAAACAAAUGACCGUACCUGACCAAGAAGCCCCGGCUAACUACGUGCCAGCAGCCGCGGUAAUACGUAGGGGGCAAGCGUUAUCCGGAAUUACUGGGUGUAAAGGGAGCGUAGACGGUUAAGUAAGUCUGGAGUGAAAGGCCGGGGCCCAACCCCGGGACUGCUCUCGAAACUAUUCAACUUGAGUGCAGGAGAGGUAAGCGGAAUUCCUAGUGUAGCGGUGAAAUGCGUAGA
rnacentral:rRNA from 1 species